rnacentral:rRNA from 1 species
UACGUUCCCGGGCCUUGUACACACCGCCCGUCACACCAUGGGAGCGGGUUUUACCAGAAGUAGGUAGGCUAACCGCAAGGGGGCCGCUUACCACGGUAGGAUUCGUGACUGGGGUG